UCUGCACUUAUGUAAAAAGGAACUAAACGGAAUAAAAUGAAUUGAAACUUAAAAUAACCAAAUGUAGCUACAUUCGCUCCUUUCCGUUUACUUCUUUAGAGUUAUUUGUAAACAACAUAUUAUUAAGUAAUAGAAGAAAAGAACCAAUUGAAUGAUGUUGACGAAUUAGGGUUUAACGUCCAGUGACAAAUAUCAUGUUCGUAUGUGAACGAGAAC
rnacentral:lncRNA from 1 species